GACGAACGCUGGCGGCGUGCUUAACACAUGCAAGUCGAACGGAAAGGCCCUGCUCUUGUGGGGUGCUCGAGUGGCGAACGGGUGAGUAACACGUGAGUAACCUGCCCUUGACUUUGGGAUAACUUCAGGAAACUGGGGCUAAUACCGGAUAGGAGCUCCUGCUGCGUGGUGGGGGUUGGAAAGUUUCGGCGGUUGGGGAUGGACUAGCGGGUUAUCAGCCUGUUGGUGGGGUAGUGGCUUACCAAGGCUUUGACGGGUAGCCGGCCUGAGAGGGUGACCGGCCACAUUGGGACUGAGAUACGGACCAGACGCCUACGGGAGGCAGCAGUGGGGAAUAUUGCACAACGAGCGGAAGUCUGAUGCAGCAACGCCGCGUGCGGGAUGACGGCCUUCGGGUGGUAAACCGCUUUCGCCUGUGACGAAGCGGGAGUGACGGUAAUGGGUAAAGAAGCACCGGCUAACUACGUG
rnacentral:rRNA from 1 species